GUGAGCUCUGAGGGAUGGGGUGAGCUCUGAGGGAUGGGGUGAGCUCCAAGGGAUGGGCUGAUCUCUACAGGAUGGGGUGAUCUCCAAGGGAUGGGGGAACACAGCAGGGGCACAGCAGAACUUGGGCAGUGCUUCCUGCUGGCAGGGAAUGAACCCUGGAGCUUUCCUGCCUCAUGAACCCCCCCAAGCCCUGUCCUGCCCUUUCCCCACAGCCCACCUGGAGCAGCGGCUCCUGGCUGUGCAGCCCCCCAGGGUGGGACAGUGUGGGGCAGAGGUGUGAGUUAGGAUGCAGGGUGAGGUUCAGGCUGGGUUCUGAGCUUCCACAGGGCUUGAUGAGGAAAAGCUGUGGGGUUGGUGACAGCAAGUUGGACAAGAUUUGAUUGUUUCAGCCUCUGCAUCAGGGCAGGGCUAUGGACAUAACAUCAAGGAGUAAAACCACAUUCUGUGAGCAGCAACACAUGGCUGCUGAGCCCUGCUGAAAGUCCCACAGAGAGUGACAUCCCUUUGUCAGUGCAAGGUGGUGUAAUAGGAGAAAAUCUCCAUGCUUGAUCCGUGCCCUCCUACCUUUGCUGGCUGGGAAGAAGUGCCUGCUAUGCAGGGUCUGGAGUACUGAAGGCUGUGGCACAGAGCAAGGAAGUGAAAACCCCACUCAGCAUCUGGGCUGCCAGCCUUUGUGACUGCUUCUGCCCUGGGAAUCAGUUCUGACUCCUGCUAAGGGAAAACCCCAAAGUCCUUCCAUGGACUGAGUCCCUUGCACCUGCCCACCAGAGACUACUCCCAGCUGUGGUGUUGUCUGGUUUCCCUCACUUGCCUCUCGUGUUUUGGGCUUUAUUCUGUUCUCCAUGCUGGAGGCUCUUCACCUGUGCAGAGACACGUGUGCCUCAUCCAGGAGCCAGUCCAUGGGCUCUCCAGAGUGUCCAAAGUGACUGCACAGCUCCUGCCACAGCUCUGCCCUACUGCCCAGGACAUCUCCAGCCUCACGUGGUGCUGUCCCCAUCACCAGUGCAGUGACAGGGUGCCACAGCCCAGGAGUGAAGGGGGAGCUGCUCCAGAAACUCUUCCCUUUAUCAUCAUCAUCUUUGGAGGAGAUUUGUCUGAUGGUUUCUCUUCUACCACUUGCCACUUUAUCUCUGGACUCUUGCUGCAGCAGAUUUUCAGAGCCCUCCAAAUAUUUUGCUACUCAGAGCCGUGGGUGAGGUCCCCUGUCACUUCUGCUGAAAUGGGAGGUUGGGUGAGGAACCUCUGGAGUGCCUGGACAGACCAAACCUGGACCCUGGGGAAGCUGCUGGGUGUGUGGAGUGUGUGCAGAGAGGCACCAGGCUGUGGGUGCCACAUCUCUGCUGCUUCACAAUCCUCUCUCACUGUUGGUUUGUCCUGAGUAUUCAGCUGGUGUGGGCUGCUGCCUGGCUCGAGACAGAUUUUCCCUAUCUGCCAAUACAGAUGUCUUCACCAUUGGAGAGACCCAGGGCAGUGAGAAAAACCACCAUGUGCAGGAUUUAAAGUGAAUAAAGUGAAUAAAUAACCCA
rnacentral:lncRNA from 1 species